rnacentral:sRNA from 1 species
UUUCUAAAAAUAAAACUGGCGGAUACAUAAAAACUCUAAAACCAAAAAUUAAAAAGCGGAUAUAAAGAAAGAAGAACCUUAAAGCACACGGAAUAUAUAAAUACCACAUUCAAAAGCAACAUAGCCGAAAACUCUUUGACAAAACAGUUUGAUGUAUUGAGAAAGAUUACAAAGAUGAUCUUCCAAGAGGACCCAACAUUAGAUUGCCUCAAUAGUUUU